UACAGAGGUCCCAAGCGUUGUUCGGAUUCACUGGGUUUAAAGGGUGCGUAGGUGGGUCUGUAAGUCAGUGGUGAAAUCUCCGUGCUUAACAUGGAAACUGCCAUUGAUACUAUAGGUCUUGAAUUUUCUGGAGGUCAGCGGAAUAUGUCAUGUAGCGGUGAAAUGCUUAGAUAUGACAUAGAACACCAAUUGCGAAGGCAGCUGGCUACAGGGAUAUUGACACUGAGGCACGAAAGCGUGGGGAUCAAACAGG
rnacentral:rRNA from 1 species